GCGCCCGUAGCUCAGUCGGAUAGAGCAAGAGCCUUCUAGUCGCUAGGUCGCAGGUUCGAAUCCUGCCGGGCGCGCCA
rnacentral:tRNA from 1 species